GUAGAGAUGGCUCAAGGGUUAAGAGCACUGGCUGCUCUUCCAGAGGACCUGGGUUCAAUUCCCAGUACCUGCA
rfam:Rattus norvegicus chromosome 5, whole genome shotgun sequence.